rnacentral:rRNA from 1 species
ACACUAUCAUUAACUGAAUCCAUAGGUUAAUGAGGCGAACCGGGGGAACUGAAACAUCUAAGUACCCCGAGGAAAAGAAAUCAACCGAGAUUCCCCCAGUAGCGGCGAGCGAACGGGGAGGAGCCCAGAGCCUGAAUCAGCAUGUGUGUUAGUGGAAGCGUCUGGAAAGGCGCGCGAUACAGGGUGACAGCCCCGUACACAAAAGCGCAUGUGCUGUGAGCUCGAUGAGUAGGGCGGGACACGUGGUAUCCUGUCUGAAUAUGGGGGGACCAUCCUCCAAGGCUAAAUACUCCUGACUGACCGAUAGUGAACCAGUACCGUGAGGGAAAGGCGAAAAGAACCCCGGCGAGGGGAGUGAAAAAGAACCUGAAACCGUGUACGUACAAGCAGUGGGAGCACCCUUUGGGUGUGACUGCGUACCUUUUGUAUAAUGGGUCAGCGACUUAUAUUCUGUAGCAAGGUUAACCGAAUAGGGGAGCCGGAGGGAAACCGAGUCUUAACCGGGCGUUAAGUUGCAGGGUAUAGACCCGAAACCCGGUGAUCUAGCCAUGGGCAGGUUGAAGGUUGGGUAACACUAACUGGAGGACCGAACCGACUAAUGUUGAAAAAUUAGCGGAUGACCUGUGGCUGGGGGUGAAAGGCCAAUCAAACCGGGAGAUAGCUGGUUCUCCCCGAAAGCUAUUUAGGUAGCGCCUCGUGAAUUCAUCUCCGGGGGUAGAGCACUGUUUCGGCUAGGGGGCCAUCCCGGCUUACCAACCCGAUGCAAACUGCGAAUACCGGAGAAUGUUAUCACGGGAGACACACGGCGGGUGCUAACGUCCGUCGUGAAGAGGGAAACAACCCAGACCGCCAGCUAAGGUCCCAAAGUCAUGGUUAAGUGGGAAACGAUGUGGGAAGGCCCAGACAGCCAGGAUGUUGGCUUAGAAGCAGCCAUCAUUUAAAGAAAGCGUAAUAGCUCACUGGUCGAGUCGGCCUGCGCGGAAGAUGUAACGGGGCUAAACCAUGCACCGAAGCUGCGGCAGCGACACUGUGUGUUGUUGGGUAGGGGAGCGUUCUGUAAGCCUGUGAAGGUGUGUCGUGAGGCAUGCUGGAGGUAUCAGAAGUGCGAAUGCUGACAUAAGUAACGAUAAAGCGGGUGAAAAGCCCGCUCGCCGGAAGACCAAGGGUUCCUGUCCAACGUUAAUCGGGGCAGGGUGAGUCGACCCCUAAGGCGAGGCCGAAAGGCGUAGUCGAUGGGAAACGGGUUAAUAUUCCCGUACUUGGUGUUACUGCGAAGGGGGGACGGAGAAGGCUAUGUUGGCCGGGCGACGGUUGUCCCGGUUUAAGCGUGUAGGCUGGUUUUCCAGGCAAAUCCGGAAAAUCAAGGCUGAGGCGUGA